rnacentral:pre_miRNA from 1 species
UUGUUGUCGCCUUUGGAUUAUUGGGUUGCAUCCACACUUGUUAUAUAGUUUUGCAUACUCUUGUUUCCUUUCCAAUGGUGUUGACAAGAAUUAACGUAUUCGAGGUUAACAGCCAGUAACCACACCCAUGGCUAUUACAUGCAUAUAUGUUCACACCUGUUAUAUUGCUUAGUGUGGAUGCAUCCCAAAUGUCCAAAUGUGAUGAUAA